GCUGAAGAAAAGGUGAGACAGACUGAGCUCAGCCCAAUCAAAUUCAAGAUCAAACCAGAAUCUCCAAGUUUUUACUCCAUCCUGGCUGUCCUGUUCCGGAAGAACUCCAGUUUAUCAAUUCAUUUCUUAAUUGGGGCACCUUUCUGUGGAAGGGCCAAAUGACCGAACUUUAUUAAAGAUAACAAGACCACUUUCAAGGAGGAGGAGGAAGGUAAAGAGGAGAAG